rnacentral:rRNA from 1 species
GACGAACGCUGGCGGCGUGCUUAACACAUGCAAGUCGAGCGGUAAGGCCCUUUCGGGGGUACACGAGCGGCGAACGGGUGAGUAACACGUGGGUGACCUGCCCUCAGCUCUGGGAUAAGCCUGGGAAACCGGGUCUAAUACUGGAUAUGACUCCAUGACGCAUGUUGUGGGUGAAAGCCUUGUGCGGCUGAGGAUGGGCCCGCGGCCUAUCAGCUUGUUGGUGGGGUGAUGGCCUACCAAGGCGACGACGGGUAGCCGGCCUGAGAGGGCGACCGGCCACACUGGGACUGAGACACGGCCCAGACUCCUACGGGAGGCAGCAGUGGGGAAUCUUGCGCAAUGGGCGAAAGCCUGACGCAGCGACGCCGCGUGAGGGAUGACGGCCU